AGUGAACGCUGGCGGUAGGCCUAACGCAUGCAAGUCGAACGGCAGCACAGGAGAGCUUGCUCUCUGGGUGGCGAGUGGCGGACGGGUGAGGAAUACAUCGGAAUCUACUCUGUCGUGGGGGAUAACGUAGGGAAACUUACGCUAAUACCGCAUACGACCUACGGGUGAAAGCAGGGGACCUUCGGGCCUUGCGCGAUUGAAUGAGCCGAUGUCGGAUUAGCUAGUUGGCGGGGUAAAGGCCCACCAAGGCGACGAUCCGUAGCUGGUCGGAGAGGGUGAUCAGCCACACUGGAACUGAGACACGGUCCAGACUCCUACGGGAGGCAGCAGUGGGGAAUAUUGGACAAUGGGCGCAAGCCUGAUCCAGCCAUACCGCGUGGGUGAAGAAGGCCUUCGGGUUGUAAAGCCCUUUUGUUGGGAAAGAAAUCCAGCUGGCUAAUACCCGGUUGGGAUGACGGUACCCAAAGAAUAAGCACCGGCUAACUUCGUGCCAGCCGCCGCAGUAA
rnacentral:rRNA from 1 species